rnacentral:lncRNA from 1 species
UUCAAGUGAUUUAAAAAAAAGGAGGGAGAAGGGCCGAUUUGAGUGCACCAAGAAGGAACAGAGUUUGCUACUCUGACUCUACCUCCAGCAGGAACCUGAUUGCAUUGACCUGUGAUGGUUUUCACACCUGAGACCCGUCACCUGAUCCUCUUAAUCCCCCUCACUUUUAGACCAAAAGAAGUUCACAGUAGAGGUUCUGGAAGUUUAGGGAGGUGUAAGGUUAAUUUUUCUAUGUUCAUGUUCUGUAAGGAGAUGUUACCAGUUAUUGAGAGGGCUGUGAGGAGGGUAAGAAUUUAAUGUAGGGGGCAAAAGUGUAUGUUUGAAUAAUCUUAUGUAGACAAAAUUAUCUUGGAGAGUGAACUUGGAGAAUAUGAGCCUAGAAGAAAGGUCGUGUUCAUGAAUUCUGUGGCAUUCUUGGAAGAAUUUCACCAAAGGUGUGACCAACACAGGAUGUUCAACUGACAAACACCACUGGCUGACCAGCUGUUUGAACUGGAGAGCUAUGGAGUGAAAGACCUUUGCCUAUUUAGCAGUCUCCUAAGGUAAUUACUUGGAACUGUUUUAGCUCUUUUCAGUUGACUGUGGUGUUUAGAAGAAAUGAUUGCAGUCUGUACCUUUAACAACAAAGAGCAGGCGAAAGGAUGGAUUACUUUAGCAAACAGUGGAGAAUUGAAUGCCACGACUGAGAUUGCACUGAGAGAUCUGGAAGCUGGAUUUGGAGGACAUUUCCAAUUGACUCAACAUACAAACCCAUGUGCCUGUACUGUUAUACCAUACUUUCUUCCAGUUAAGGAGAUUUUGUGGAUCUGGACAGCUUGCUGACCUCAUUGCUUCUCAUUCCAGUUUUUAGGGAAAAUAAAUAAUGGGAGCAAUCCAGACCCUCAGGAAAGUCCCUGGAGUCCCAGCAGGCUGAUGAUGGGGUGAAGGGGCACAAAGGGCUGUCAACACAAUUGAGUGGGCUCUGGAUGAGUCUGGUUGCAUGCUCAAGAAAACCCUCACCUGACAAAAACACCAUCUCCACAUUCUCAAUCUUAAAUUGUUUGUCUUUUUUGUGAUAAAUUGGAGCAAAAAGUUCUAUUCAUCAGUUACCUCCUUCAAAAAGGACACUCACAAGUGUACUGUUGAGAGAGGCAAGAUUCAUUAUUUUUUUCCCAUUCUGGGGGAAAGCUAAUAAGCACUUUAAUAAGCAUCAUCGUCAUCAUUAUUAUUAUUGGAAAAAAACACUCAAUGGAAGAGAGAAGGCAGUGGGAGGAAGGGUAAAAAGAUAAAGGAGGGGAGAAGAAAAUUCCCAAAGGAUUUUUGAAUCCCAGGCAAUAAAUGACAUCACUUAUCACUGGGCCAAGGGAUUGAAUUAUGCAAUGAGGCAACCUCAUCCCCAUUAGCAAGCUUCCUUCCUGGUACUGGCAAACAUUAAAGUGGAAUAUAGGUGCUAGGAUUUCUAUGCUGGGAGCAGCCCACCCAUCCAGUUCUCACGUUCUGAGUCUUAAAUCUGGAAGUCUGAGUGCUCUCAGAGCAGUGCUGAAUAUAUUCUUUGGAGAAAGGGUCUAUCUGCACUCUGGAGAGUCUUUACCUUUGAAACAUUCUGAAUGAGCCCUAGCCCCUGUCCACUAAAAACCGGCUCACUAAAACCGUUAAUACCCUAGAAUAGUUACUCAGAAAACCUGACGUUAGUUCCAUCUCUGGAGUCCCCAUAAUUUGGAGGUAUUUAUUUACCAAUCUUCAAUCCACUAUCUCCUUUGACUAAUUUUCAACUGUUGGGGGUAGCUUGAAUGUGUUCCAAGCCUCUCUUUUCCACCUAGAAAUGUGGGUCACUAAGGGCAGUCCAUUUACAAGAUACAUGUUCUUUAUGGGUUCCUUUAAAACAUCUGAUACUAUUCAGUGCCCAUUAGUCACAAGUGAAGACAUUAAAGGCAUCUCUAGUGGCACUGACUACCCACUGCUCCUCGGGGAACCAAAGUAUAGCACUUCCAUCUCUUAGUGAGCUCAUAAAGAUAUGUUGAACACAGGCCUUCAUAUUUUAAAUAUUUAUAAUCAUAUUUUAGAGGAGCAUAUUACUGGAGCAACAGCAACUAGCAAAUGAUGGAUAAAAAAUCUUUUAUUCUUCCCUUAAAUCAAUUUUUUUUGGUUCUAAAAAUGCAACAGAAAUGAAAACAAAAGGAGACCAGAACAUUAGCACCAAAAAGUCCUAGAAAUAUAAACCAAUUUUUGUGCUUUUCUUUAUCCAGUGGUGAUAUGACCGCAGAUGAAGAGGGUUAAAUAAAUGGAAAAUACUUAUUAAUGCACUUUAGAAUAAGAUCUCAUAUUUUAUAAUACUUCACCAAUCUUUGUUAUUCUUUCCUUCUUCCCACUGUCUAUUUUGUUGAAGACCUACUUUAAUAUUUCUCUGAAGUUUGAUGCACAUUCUAAAUAUUGGACCCUAAAAAUUACAGAGCUACAAAGCUAUUUUUUAAAGAAAUUAAUGCUUCAAUGUAAUUUUUUUUUGUACAAGGAUUUGUCCCCCAAAAUAUUAUGAUGAUAAUAUUGAAAAAUAGUUUGUACGAUCUUGUGCUGGGGCUUAUACCUGCAGUGAUAAAUAUGCAUUGUGAUACUUAGUCACAGCCAUCCAGCAUUCCUUAGGUCUUCUCUUGUCUCCUCUCUGACAGAGGUAGUGGUCAUUUGCUGUUAACAUCAUUAAACACAAAUAGUAUUUGAAAUUUUUAGAUAAUUGGCUCCUAAAGAUGUUACUAAGAUUACUGACCUGCAAUCUGGAAAAAGUAAAUUGCAAACAAUUUAUAAAAGGUGACUGGACAGAUGCCAGAGAAAGUCAAUGUGUCCCCCAGAAAUCAUCAUAAGUCUAAUUAAAAAACACUAGUGUGUUUUACUUGGGAAAGUAAUC